rnacentral:SRP_RNA from 1 species
GCCGGGCGCUGUGGCGGGCGCCUGCAGUCCCAGCUGCCCGGGAAGCUGAGGCAGGAGAAUCGCCUGGACCCAGGAGUUGGAGGUUGCUGUGAGCUGUGUGACACUGCCACGGCACUCUACCCAGGGCGAUAGGGUGAGACUCUGUCUCUA